CAAUCCCAUAGAAAAUGUGUGGGCAGAACUGCAAAAGCGUGUGCAAGCAAGGAGGCCUACAAACCUGACUCAGUUACACCAGCUCUGUCAGGAGGAAUGGCCCACAAUUCACCCAACUUAUUAUGGGAAGCUUGUGGAAGGCUACCCAAAACAUUUGACCCAAGUUAAACAAUUUAAAGGCAAUGCUACCAAGUACUAAUUGAGUGUAUGUAAACUUCUGACCCGCUGGGAAUGUGAUGAAAGAAAUUAAAGCUGAAAUAAAUCAUUCUCUCUACUACUAUUCUGACAUUUCACGUUCUUAAAAUAAAGUGGUAAACCUAACUGACCUAAGGCAGGGAAUUGUUACUAGGAUUAAAUGUCAGGAAUUGUGAAAAACUGAGUUUAAAUUUAUUUGGCUAAGGUGUGUGUGUAAACUUCUGACUUCAACUCUAUGGUUCUAUGUAGCAGCCCUCUUGUCUUCUAAAGAACCCUUCUUGCUUUCCAAAGAAUCAUCAAAUAACCCUUUCUUCCAAAAACAGUUCUUAGGAUGUUGAAGGUUCUAGGUAGAACCCUGUUCUUCUGCAAUUAACCAUUUUUUUCUAAGCGUAAACCCUAUGCUAUAACUUGCUGAAAAAUACUGAAAAAAAUAUUUGUAAAAAAGGGGUGUAACCAAACCUCCAUCAGCUUCCCCCAACGUUGAGGAAUGCAAGCCUACGUGUUGUUUAAUUAUUACAUGCAGGCAAAUAUUGUACUUUUGAUUGAGUGCGCAGGCUAGUGGAUAAAAUAGAAAAAAAUAUGUUCCCUGACCGGGAAUCGAACCCGGGCCGCGGCGGUGAGAGCGCCGAAUCCUAACCACUAGACCACCAGGGAAUCUAUACAUGCAAUCUACAGUACGUAUUUUGUUGCUCAUCAAUUCUAUGUCAAAUUCUAAGGAGCUAUAAAAUAUUUGGCUUUUGCGAUGGGGACAGGAGCGCGCGGCGACCACUGAAUUGUAUAAUCGACCCAGUCAGCGAGCUUUUAUGUAUGUACGAACCGGUAUGACACGAGCGUAUAGCCGGCUGCAUAGACUCCAGUUGGAAGCAGACAGAGGAAGAGACAAAGCGAGAAGGAUAACUGGGCCCAAAAUCUUGUCUUCUCCAGCAGAGGGAAAGACAUCCAUGCGAUCAUCACCCUGGUCAAUGCUGAAGUGAGAAAGAUGGACGGCAAACUUCCUGUUAAGGAUAACGAUGGGAAACGUAUUGGCUAUGAGAAGGUUAAGAAAUCACCAGAUUCCAGAAACACCCUGACCAAGACGCUCAUCUUUCCUGCUAAGACCACUUAUACUUCAUAAUGAACUUUUGAUUUGUUAAUGAAACCCUUCAUCUGUCAACCAUCCAUAUGCUAAUUCUACUUUCAGAUGAAGGUUGUGAUAUGAUAGCUUCCACACAGGCUGUGAAUAGGCCUAAUCAUAUGACGCUAGCUACAUUCCAAUGGUGAUAGUCUAAUUUUAUCACUUUUAAAAUGAUGAGACAGGAACCACCAUUACUGUUGGUGUCUUUAUUUACCAGUUUGCUAUAUUUACAUGUAUGUGAUAUUUGAUAUAGUUUAGUUUCAUGUAACGUAUAUAAGGCAGCUGGGAAGAUGUGCCAUUUUCUUUAUUGACACAGAAUAUCACCAGGGAUAUACCAAAAGUGCAGUGACAUUGCUGCAGCUUAAUCAACACAACUAGGCUAUAUUUACUUUCACCAAAAUAGCAAUGUAUUUGAAAUGUGAAGAUAGAACACUGAAUCAUCAUGUUAUGUAAUUAAGUGGAGUUUCAUAGCAAGAAUAACAUUUUAUUGGUAUCUCAACCCAUAGUUUCAAGCUUACUUUAUUCCAUGAUUUUAUGUUAUCCCAUCUACUUAUAACAGAAUGUUUUACCAUAAUGUUACCUGCCUUUCCUGUCACAUUUAAAUAUUUUAUACAUUUAGAAAUAAAGGUUUAUAUUUUACCAACAGUUGGAUUGCAGAAGCAUUUUAUAUCAUAUUCCUGUUUAAGUUGAAAAAAAUGUGAAACAUAUAAAUGGAAAAGAUAUACACAUAUUUUACUGACCUCCUCGGUUUGGAAUAGUAUUGAUGUAGACAAAGUAAAACAAAUUGUGUUUUUCGUAAUUAAUGGAUAUGACACAGUCUACAGAGAGAGGAAUAAAAAUACUGCAUAUAGGAUUUGCUUUGAACAUAAUUUGACUAAUAUCUUCUGUGGGCUCGCUGGCGGUUACUGCAAUUUCUAAAAUACUUUCACCGAGGUAAAGACAGUUUCAGGUUGGAUAUUUGCCUGUAGUUUUCCUUACGUCCACCAACAGCAGUUAGGAACCGUCAACAUAGUGACAAAUCACAUUUCAAUAGCUCUUUAACCAUUACUCCUAACACUUUCAAAACUGGUUGUAGCUAACCCGAUGGCAUAGACACACAUUGCACACCCUUUAGUUAAGUCAAUUUUCAUCCCACAUGAUUUUACAUUCAUUUUUCAAAAUGUAGAAUUUCAAUAGCUCCUUGGUCAUGUGACCUGACUCCAAACAAGGUUCAGUAUGUCCACUGACUACCCUUCUAUAUUGCACACCCUUUAGUUUGUCCAUUUUCAUCUCACAUGGUUUUACAUAAUUUUUUCAAAAUGUAGAUUUUCAAUAGUGUGACCUACUGACCUCAAACAAGUUCAGAAUGUCCACUGUCUAUACCUUCAUAUCGCACACUCUGUUGUUUGUCUACUUUCAUUUCAUGCUAUUAGAUUUAAAUCUGUAAGCUUUGCAGGCCUUCAUUUUACAUGGCUGUCAAUAAAAAAAAUGUUAAGUCAACAAAUGUUCCAUCCUCGCAAUAACUAUCUUUCACAUGGACACUGAAAAUGUGGGAUGGAUCAAGGACAGGAGAGGUGUUUGAACAGAGGUGCUUAAAGGAAGGCACACAGGUAGGCCUCAUGAAAAACAAUGUUUCAUAUGCUCUUUUUAAUCACAGUAAUAGGCAGUGAUUUGUCAGUCACAGUGAGCUUGAUAACGUGAAAUAAUCCUUUUCAUAGCAUCACUUUCAUAUACUGUACAUUAAGACAAAUCCUUCUACGUUGAGUAUUAGAACGCAGUUUACAUAACCUGAUAAUGUCUUGAUAUUUGAGUGCAUUCACAACAAGCCACCUGCAGACAACUUACAAAAUGCAAUAUUACAUUCGAGGAUUCGUUUUUCUGAUGAAAAUAGUUAUUUGAUGCAUGGCCUACUAUUUCUCAUAAGAAACUAGCUCCCUGGUAUACAGAAAAUACCCGAGCUUUGAAGCAAGCUUCCAGAAAAUUGGAACGGAAAUGGCGCCACACCAAACUGGAAGUGUUCCGACUAGCUUGGAAAGACAGUACCGUGCAGUAUCGAAGAGCCCUCACUGCUGCUCGAUCAUCCUAUUUUUCCAACUUAAUUGAGGAAAAUAAGAACAAUCAGAAAUUUAUUUUUGAUAAUGUCGCAAAGCUAAGUAAAAAGCAACAUUCCCCAAGUGAGGAUGGCUUUC
rnacentral:lncRNA from 13 species